CAUUAUAUCCCCCUUGCCUUCCAAACGAAGGAAUAAGAGGACAUACAUGGAUUAUACUGAAUCUUAUUCCAUACUUCCUUUCUAAACUUUAUGUUCUACGCAUUUGGGCUUGCCGUGUCAUUGAGUAUUGAAUGUACAUAUUUCAUCUGCAUAGAUUGUCUUUGAGGAGUUACUGGAAAGGGCCAGGGAGAAAGAAGAAAAAGAAGCUAAAAAGCGUAAAAGUCUAGCAGAUGAGUUCUAUGAACUUCUUCAUGCAUCAAAGGAAAUUACUGCAUCAUCGAAAUGGGAGGACUGCAAAUCCCUCUUUGGAGAUA